ACGUUAGCGGCGGACGGGUGAGUAACACGUGGGUAACCUACCUAUAAGACUGGGAUAACUUCGGGAAACCGGAGCUAAUACCGGAUAAUAUUUCGAACCGCAUGGUUCGAUAGUGAAAGAUGGUUUUGCUAUCACUUAUAGAUGGACCUGCGCCGUAUUAGCUAGUUGGUAAGGUAACGGCUUACCAAGGCGACGAUACGUAGCCGACCUGAGAGGGUGAUAGGCCACACUGGAACUGAGACACGGUCCAGACUCCUACGGGAGGCAGCAGUC
rnacentral:rRNA from 1 species